rnacentral:rRNA from 1 species
CUGGAAGGAUUGACAGAUUAAAAGCUCUUUCUUGAUUCAGUGGGUGGUGGUGCAUGGCCGUUCUUAGUUGGUGGAGUGAUUUGUCUGGUUAAUUCCGAUAACGAACGAGACUCUAGCCUGCUAACUAGUUCGCCGGCAGCUCUUGUCGCGCGGCGCCGCUUCGGCGGCAAACUUCUUAGAGGGACAGGUGGCGUUUAGCCACACGAAGUAGAGCAAUAACAGGUCUGUGAUGCCCUUAGAUGUCCGGGGCCGCACGCGCGCUACACUGAAAGAAUCAACGUGGAUGCCCACCUGCUCCGAGAGGAGUGGGAAACCCGAUGAAUCUCUUUCGUGAUGGGGAUUGGGGCUUGUAAUUGUUCCCCAUGAACGAGGAAUUCCCAGUAAGCGUCAGUCAUCAGCUGGCGCUGAUUACGUCCCUGCCCUUUGUACACACCGCCCGUCGCUACUACCGAUUGAAUGGUUUAGUGAGACCCUCGGACUGGAGUCCGUCCGCCGCUUUCGGGUGGUGGAUGGGGAC